UCCCUAAUGAUGCUGGCCUGAGCCUGAGCUUAAACUGUUGCUCUUGAGAUCUGGAUCUGAGGGG
rnacentral:snoRNA from 1 species